CUGUCUUCCCCUUUGUUAGAACUUUAAUAAGUGUCUCAAAAAACAGUUUUUAUCAAAACUACAGAUCAUUGUGGAAUAAUCUCAGUUCUUUGGCGCAAUCAUCAUGCCUAUUACCGUAAUGGGGUGUUAAAUGAGGAUGGGGAUGGAGUGUACUCUGUGGAGGCGUCUAAAAACGAGUAUCUAGUGAAAUGUUCUGUUGUCAUUGAUGAAGAAUCUUUGAAGACGCUAUACGGCGAAUUAUGGCCAGAUUUAACGACACUGGUAGCAUUUCUAAGUGAAAACCGACGGGGAGACCUCAAGUUAGUGAAGACGUUGUUGAAGAUUUAAGGAUGAGAAUGGAACAAAGUCCGAAUAAAGCUUUGUCAAAAAUCUUUACUGUCCGGAGUACCAUACAGCCCAUGUCAGAAAAUCGUAAAAGAGAAGUUACAUAUGCAUCCAUACAAGAUUUUGUUGGUUCAGGAGCUGCAACCAGCUGAUUUUCCUUGCCGCGUUGGGUAUUGUAGUUGGUUUCAAGCUGAUAUGGACGAUAACGGGAUUCUCGAUUUGUCGUUCUUUUCUGAUGAAGCCUGGUUUCAUCUGUUAGGCUAUUAUGUCAACUGACAGAACUUCAGAAUUUGGUGUAUAGAAAAUACUCACGCUUUUGAAGAAACACCAUCACACGCAAUGAAGGUUGGUGUGUGGUUAGCUGUUUCCAGACGACGAUUCAUAGGCCUGAUACUUUUUCAAGUAAAUGAAUGUGAUCAAUAAACAAAAUUAGAUGUAGAAAGUGUAUGUAGGUACUGCAAUAAAGUUUUUUAUUUUCAGUAA